rnacentral:rRNA from 1 species
UACGGGGGGGGCAAGCGUUGUUCGGAAUUACUGGGCGUAAAGGGCUUGUAGGCGGCCAACUAAGUCCGACGUGAAAUCCCCAGGCUUAACCUGGGAACUGCGUCGGAUACUGGAUGGCUUGAAUUCGGGAGAGGGAUGCAGAAUUCCAGGUGUAGCGGUGAAAUGCGUAGAUAUCUGAAGGAAUACCGGUGGCGAAGGCGGCAUCCUGGACCGACAUUGACGCUGAGGAGCGAAAGCUAGGGGAGCAAACGGG